rnacentral:snRNA from 1 species
GUGCUUGCUUUGGCAGCACAUAUGCUAAAAUUGGAACAAUACAGAGAAGAUUAGCAUGGCUCCUGUGCAAGGAUGACACGCAAAUUCGUGAAGCGUUCCAUACUUUU